rnacentral:piRNA from 1 species
AUUCAGGCGGAGAGCUGAGAAGAGCUGAGG